AAAAUACCCUCAAGAGAAAUUCGUCUUCGAAACUUACCAAAGCUUGAAAAGCCUACAAUAAGCAGUAAAUGUACUUAUUUAAACUACUGCUUUUGUAGUAUGAUGAGCAGAAAAAUAACAAUCCUAGAACCCUUAUCUCACGAGUUCGCUAAAGUAAAAACAGUAUUUAAUAGAAUUCAAAUUUUGGUAUUCUUUACCCAUUCGUUUGACAUUUCAAUUUUUUUACUGAUUUAAUUGUUCGCUAAAAUAAAUAGGUUGUUUUUUAGAAUCAGAUACUGUCACUCAUAAUAUCUUUCGUUUAGUUAUUAAAUUUAUUAAAAUCAUUUCUGUUCUAUGUUUCUUUUUGAUGAUUGGCAUCCAUAGUCUAGUUAUCGUAUGAAUCUGCUCACAAUAACGGUUAAGUCAUCUGUUAUAGAUGUGUUCCGUAUAUCCUUAGAACGAUAGAAUUCAGAUUAUGCUUGAACAUAUAUUAAGUAAGAAUAUUUUGUUGACUUGCUAAAAAUAAAGAACCAUUGCCAUGAAAAUGUGUUCUUCUGUCGAAUAAACUACUUAACAGCUUAUUAUCCGACAAAAAAUUUUGAUCAGUAAU